rnacentral:rRNA from 1 species
UACAGAGGGUGCAAGCGUUAAUCGGAAUUACUGGGCGUAAAGAGUGCGUAGGUGGUUGGAUAAGUUAGGUGUGAAAUCCCUGGGCUCAACCCAGGAACUGCGCUUAAAACUGUUCGGCUAGAGUAUUGUAGAGGAUAGUGGAAUUUCCAGUGUAGCGGUGAAAUGCGUAGAUAUUGGAAGGAACACCAGUGGCGAAGGCGGGUCUCUGGACAGUUCCUGACACUGAGGCACGAAGGCCAGGGGAGCAAACGGG